rnacentral:rRNA from 1 species
GAUGAACGCUGGCGGCGUGCUUAACACAUGCAAGUCGAACGGAAAGGCUCCUGCUUGCAGGGGUACUCGAGUGGCGAACGGGUGAGUAACACGUGGGUGAUCUGCCCUGCACUUCGGGAUAAGCCUGGGAAACUGGGUCUAAUACCGGAUAGGACCACAUUUUGGAUGGUGUGGUGGAAAGUUUUUCGGUGUGGGAUGAGCUCGCGGCCUAUCAGCUUGUUGGUGGGGUACUGGCCUACCAAGGCGUCGACGGGUAGCCGGCCUGAGAGGGUGUACGGCCACAUUGGGACUGAGAUACGGCCCAGACUCCUACGGGAGGCAGCAGUGGGGAAUAUUGCACAAUGGGCGCAAGCCUGAUGCAGCGACGCCGCGUGGGGGAUGACGGCCUUCGGGUUGUAAACUCCUUUCGCUAGGGACGAAGCGCAAGUGACGGUACCUGGAGAAGAAGCACCGGCUAACUACGUG